rnacentral:rRNA from 1 species
UACGGGGGGAGCAAGCGUUGUUCGGAUUUACUGGGCGUAAAGGGCGCGUAGGCGGCCACCGCAAGUCGACUGUGAAAUCUCCGGGCUUAACCCGGAAAGGUCAGCCGAUACUGCGGGGCUAGAGUGCAGAAGGGGCAACUGGAAUUCUCGGUGUAGCGGUGAAAUGCGUAGAUAUCGGGAGGAACACCAAUGGCGAAGGCAGCUCGCUGGGACGGUACUGACGCUGAGGCGCGAAAGCGUGGGGAGCAAACAGG